rnacentral:rRNA from 1 species
UGCCUAGCCAUAACACGGCAACCCACUGCUCGCCAAAUGACUACGAGUGAAAACUUAAAACUUAAAGGACUUGACGGUACUUCACACUCAGCCUAGAGGAGCCUGUCUACUAACCGAUAAUCCACGAUUAACCCGACCGCUUCUAGCCACCCAGCCUAUAUACCACCGUCGCCAGCCUACCUUGUAAAAGAAACAAAGUAAGCUAAACAGUACUACACUAACACGACAGGUCAAGGUGUAACUAAUGAAACGGAUUAAGAUGGGCUACAUUCUCUAACCCAGAUUACACGAACAAGAUUAUGAAAUUAACCUUCGAAGGCGGAUUUAGCAGUAAGCUGAGAACAAAAUACUCAACUGAAACCAAUGCAAUGAAGUGCGUACACACCGCCCGUCACCCUCUGCAGUCACUUUA